GAUGAACGCUGGCGGCGUGCCUAAUACAUGCAAGUCGAACGGACAGACGAGGAUCUUGCUCCUCUGACGUUAGCGGCGGACGUGUGAAUAACACGUGUAUAACCUACCUAUAAUACGGGUAAAACUUGGGGAAACCGGAUCUAAUACGGUAUAAUAUAUUGCACCACGGGGGGCGAUAGUAAAAGACGGUUUUUCUGGCACGUCUCGAUGGAUCCGCGCCGCAUUAGCUGGUUGGUGAGGUAACGGGUUACCACGGGAACGAGGCGUAGCCGAGGGGAGAGGGUGAUAGGCGACCCUGGAGCUGAGCCGCGCUCCAGAGUACUGAGAGAGGCAGCAGUAGGGAAUGGUCCGCAAUGGGCGAAAGUAUGACGGAGCAAGGCCGAGUGAGUGACGACGGCCUUCCGAUCGUAAAACUGUGCUAUUAGGGAAGAACCAAUGUGUCAGUAAAUAAGCCCGUCUUGACGGUACUUAAUAAGAAAGCACCGGCUAACUACGUG
rnacentral:rRNA from 1 species